rnacentral:tRNA from 2 species
GGCCCCAUGGCGAAAUUGGCACACGCGGCAAGUUCAAACCUUGCUUAUUGUUCCCGGUUCAAAUCCGGGUGGGGCUACCA